rnacentral:tRNA from 1 species
GCUGGAUUAGCUCAAUUGGUAGAGCAGCUGAUUUGUAAUCAGCAGGUUGUAGGUUCGAGUCCUAUAUCCAGCUCCA